AUUUCACCUCUUUUUUCUUUUAUCCCUUUCGCCAAACUUCCUCUUUUCUUCUCGUUGCGACACGAAGCCGCCGAACGAGGAGGGAUGAGUGAAAAAAAGGUUUGAAGUGAAAAAAAGGUAGAAGUGAAAAGAGGAGAGAGGAGAGAGAAAAUUUUUUUCCUUCUCUCCUUUCUUUUCGUUCCACAAAAAGAAGAAAUUGAACACAAGCAAAUAAAUAUAUCUGAAAUGUUU
rnacentral:ribozyme from 14 species